rnacentral:sRNA from 1 species
UUGACAGCUCUGGAAAUUGAAGUCCUCUGUUUAGACGGAGAACAAGAAGGGUACAGGCAGUGGCAAUGCACACUGUCUCGUCCACAUGCCUCAACCCUGAUCUGGAGGGACCAGCUCUGGAACAGAUAGCAGGUCAGCUCCCAUGUACCUCCAGUCCUUGGCCUUU